ACGAACGCUGGCGGCAUGCCUAACACAUGCAAGUCGAACGAGACCUUCGGGUCUAGUGGCGCACGGGUGCGUAACGCGUGGGAACCUGCCCUUAGGUUCGGAAUAACUCCCCGAAAGGGGUGCUAAUACCGGAUAAUGUCUUCGGACCAAAGAUUUAUCGCCUUUGGAUGGGCUCGCGUUGGAUUAGCUAGUUGGUAGGGUAAAAGCCUACCAAGGCGACGAUCCAUAGCUGGUCUGAGAGGAUGAUCAGCCACACUGGGACUGAGACACGGCCCAGACUCCUACGGGAGGCAGCAGUGGGGAAUAUUGGACAAUGGGCGAAAGCCUGAUCCAGCAAUGCCGCGUGAGUGAUGAAGGCCUUAGGGUUGUAAAGCUCUUUUACCCGGGAUGAUAAUGACAGUACCGGGAGAAUAAGCUCCGGCUAACUCCGUG
rnacentral:rRNA from 1 species